rnacentral:rRNA from 1 species
GAUGAACGCUGGCGGCGUGCCUAAUACAUGCCAGUCGAGCGAACGGACGAGAAGCUUGCUUUUCUGAUGUUAGCGGCGGACGGGUGAGUAACACGUGGAUAACCUACCUAUAAGACUGGGAUAACUUCGGGAAACCGGAGCUAAUACCGGAUAAUAUUUUGAACCGCAUGGUUCAAAAGUGAAAGACGGUCUUGCUGUCACUUAUAGAUGGAUCCGCGCUGCAUUAGCUAGUUGGUAAGGUAACGGCUUACCAAGGCAACGAUGCAUAGCCGACCUAAGAGGGUGAUCGGCCACACUGGAACUGAGACACGGUCCAGACUCCUACGGGAGGCAGCAGUAGGGAAUCUUCCGCAAUGGGCGAAAGCCUGACGGAGCAACGCCGCGUGAGUGAUGAAGGUCUUCGGAUCGUAAAACUCUGUUAUUAGGGAAGAACAUAUGUGUAAGUAACUGUGCACAUCUUGACGGUACCUAAUCAGAAAGCCACGGCUAACUACGUG